AAGUCGUAACAAGGUUUCCGUAGGUGAACCUGCGGAAGGAUCAUUAAUGAAUGAAGUUUUUUGGGGUUUUAAAUCUCAAAAAAUAAUUCACCUUUUGUGCAUUGUUAUCUGAUAUACUUUGGUUAGAGCUUUGAUUUCAUUUUAUUGGAAUCAACUUCUUGCUAACUCUAUCCUUUCUGAGGACAGUUGGCUAUGAAGCCAAGGUUUUUUAUCAAACUCUUGUAUUUUGUCUGACCUAAAUAUCAAUAAUUAAAUCAUAACUUUCAACAACGGAUCUCUUGGCUCUC
rnacentral:misc_RNA from 1 species